ensembl:lncRNA
AAGAGAGCAACUUUCUAUCUGGUGGUAGAGUCGGAAUAAACUAUGUAGGUAGGAGUUGCCUGUGGCCAUGGGUCUCAUCUUGUUGGGAACUCACUUGGAGAGAAGGAAGCCAGUAGAUUGAGAGAAGCAAAGGCAAGCAAUGUCUUGAAGAAUCAGCUCUCUUUUGGUUCUUGAUUUGGUACUUUGGCCAAGCGUUCAGCAGAAUUGCUGUGAGACCGUGUGUUCCUGUCUCGUGUGAACAAGCCAGCUAGAAAGGAAGGAUGGAGAAGGAAAGAAAACUCCCAAGGAAAAAACAGGAAAACAUGGAAAGUGGAAUUCACAGUGGAGGAGGAAUGGCCAAAAGAGGCUGUGAUCCAAGCAAAACAGCAGCAAGUGAAAUAAACAGAGGAGAUACGCGUGAAGAGAGGACAUCUGGAACAAAGGAAGAGCUGAACGAAACCAAGGGUCAUUCUGAAGAAGAAAAAUACUAAGCAGUCAAAAGUGUCCCCAAAUAGCAAGUAUGGAGUCAAUCGUUGGUAUUCACUAAGAGAGAAGAAAAUUCUAAUGAGAAGCACAUGCCACCAGGUGGAGGUGGGAAGUGGGACAUGCUUCCAAGAAGUCCUUACAAUUGCAUUCCGAUGACUCCACUAAGUUGAUAAAGAAGCUGCAGUUAUAGAAAGAAGUUAUAGAAAGAAGGUCAACCCUGUGACUUAGUUCUAAACAACUGCAGCCCCAGAAGACGUUCAGGGGCAGAGGUGGUGCGCAUCUUCUGUUAUAAUUGACCUGGGCUUUGAGAUUUCUCUGUCAUGAUGUAUCCCAGAAUGUUGCAUGAUGGGAAGACCCUUGUUAUUCCUUCACCAGCCGAGCCAAACGGACAAGAUCAAACAGCUAUGCUCAAACACGGCAAUUGAUCCAGAACCAGAAGCUGGGACCCAGUGUUGCAGUUCAUGGUGUAAUUGCAGACAGGCUAAGAAAGCCCUGCCGCAUCCCCUGACCCCCUCUGCUUCCCGCCUCUCAGGAGCAGUAUCAACUGGCGGCUUUCUGCAAUCUACCUUCGUGGGACCAUGGCUUUUUUACUUAAGGCUAAAAUCUUUGUUUAAACACAAAACCUUGAGAGGGAUCAUAUUUAAGGUGGUACAAGGUGAAGAAAUCCUAUCACAGAAGGAAACUUUGAAAGAAUUGGAUCUGAUUUGGUUAAAAAAAAGAAGGAAGAAAGAAAAAAAACAAGGAGAGAUAUGUCUUCAAAUAUUUGAAGAAUUUUAAAAGAAGUCAACUUGCUUUUGCUUCUACCAAAAGCACAAUGGGAACCAAGAGUGAAAGCUGUCUGUUUUCUGUUCUACAUUAAGAAAGAAUUUACCAACACUUGACGCUGCCCAAGUGUAGAAUGGCCGUCCUGGGGAAGUUGUGGGUACCCCUUUAUUAUAAGAUCUCAGCAGGGAUACUGGAGACAGAGUCCUCUCCCUUAUGGGUUCUUCCAAUCCUAAAUUCUGUAGCUCUUUGGUUAAUGUUCUAUAUCUUUGUGCAAGUGUUUAUGGCUGUUAUUUGUGUGAUUAAGAAAAUUUUAUUAAAAACACUGAAAAACACAAAUAAAGUAAAAAUCACCCAUAAUCCCACCACUUAAAGAUUGAUCAAGGAAAGAAGCAAAGUCCUUGGCCCCUCUAAUUCUGUCCUCCAUUGUUCAUAGUUUGGCUAAAUUCAUUAAAACUAAAGGAAGGCAAUUGAUAAUAUUAAUGACAGUUAAUGAAAAGGAAUAGAUGACAUGGUAUUGGUUGAUACAUGUGUGUGCAGAUAUAUUUUUUCUGUCAUAUAUAUAUAUAUAUAUACACAUACAAUUUUAGAGCUGACUGAUUCAAAUCACACCUUGAACUACAUCUGAACCAACAUUAAGAAUGGAAAUUGACUUUUUAUAAAAAAAACUUCAUUUUAUGAUAUUUUAAAAUUUCCUCUUUUACCUAACUGCUAAAUACAACUGAGGGUUUUCCCUUUGGGGGAGUGUCUUCUGUUUCAUUUUGGCUUCAGGGUAAAAUGAGGCAGCGUGUGCGAGUGAGUGCAGACAUGAGGAGAGGU